rnacentral:lncRNA from 10 species
UAAUUUUAAAAAUAAAAUAAAAUUAAGGAGGAAUAAACCAAGGCUCUGAGAAAUUCAGUGACUUGCUAAAGUCUCACGGCUAGGAAUCUUUGGAGCCAUGUCUGCAAGACACUAAAGACUGUUCUCUUAGAUUCUACAUUCUUUUCUUGUGAUAUCCAUGAAUCAAUAUUGAAUAAGAUACUGGAGGGUACCAGGCUGGAAGUAAUCCCUCCCCCAGAACUCCUCUCACCCCCACAAAAAACCCCAACAAGAUUGUAAUAAACAUUCGUUGUUAACAUGUAUAAAUUUCUUUAGCAUAAACCCUUGCAGGGAAGUUUUCAAGUCACAGGUAAUCAUGUAUUUCAAUUAACCUUGAUCUUUCCAUAUUGUUUUCCAGAGUGGCCACCAGCUGAUGAUGAGAUUCACUGAUCCUCACAUCCUCUCCAAUUCUUGAGAUUAUCAUGGCUUAACUGAGAGAUAUUACAUGAUUAACAAACUCAUACUACCCUGGAACCAGCAUCAGUGCUACGGUGGAACCAAGAAUUCACUUCUGCCUCCAUUGUCACUGCCACCAGCAUCUGUCUACUCCCAAGAAACUAAAGGACAGGCACUGGACUGCUACUGCAGAAACACCCACAAUUCCACAGGCUUGCUUGCGAGUUGAAGAUGUUGGAAGAAUAAGAUAAAAAGUACUUGAGUCCCUGAAACACCACUUGGAGCAAAGCUGUCCAUUAAUCAGGAUGAACUGUUUGGGAAAUAUAAAUACAUUUCCACUUGAGACCAACCAUUAUACAUUGUUAGAAAUUUGCUAUUUUUUUUGUUACAGCAGUUGGCAUCAUUGCUUGUGUCAAGUUUCCUUGAGAUUUUAAAUGGAACUCUGCCAAGAUAUGCCACAACGAGCAAAAAGAAUGUGCUUCCCUUCAGGACCUGUGUAGUGAAUCUGAGAAGAAGUUUCUGUGAGCUCUUGAGAAGAAUCAUUUUGUAUCAACAGGGGGAAAUCCGCAGAGCUUCUGUUUUAAGACAUUGUGUUCAAUAGUUAAGUAUUUCUUUCAAGCCUUACCAUGCUGCUCUCAUGUAGGCGUCCCCGUUCUCUUGGAAGGCAGUGUGUUGCACAGACAAUAUGCAGAAGCCACAUCAAAGAUGAUGGUGAUCAUGGCCAGGGGCAUUUCAGAUUAUGUGAAUGAAUAAAAGCUG